rnacentral:rRNA from 1 species
UACGAAGGGGGCUAGCGUUGCUCGGAAUCACUGGGCGUAAAGCGCACGUAGGCGGAUUGCUAAGUCAGGGGUGAAAUCCCGGGGCUCAACCCCGGAACUGCCCUUGAAACUGCAGUGCUAGAAUUCUGGAGAGGCGAGUGGAAUUCCGAGUGUAGAGGUGAAAUUCGUAGAUAUUACGGAAGAACACCAGUGGCGAAGGCGACUCGCUGGACAGACAUUGACGCUGAGGUGCGAAAGCGUGGGGAGCAAACAGG